rnacentral:lncRNA from 1 species
CCCAACAGCAAGUAGGCUCCUCCUUUUAUUUUUAUCUCCAAAUGGCACUAAUUCUCUUCCCUUGUCCACGUGGUUCUGUAGGUAUGUAUGUGUAUUUUAAAUCACAAAGUUGCCCUUUUUUUUCUUCCUCUCGCCGCCAACUUGCUGUGUCUUCUUUCUGUCCUCAAUUCACGUUUGUUUGUAUGUGAUUCCAGCCGGCAAUUGUAUGUCUCUCUUCUAAUUUCCACCAGCAGCUUAUGUAUGUAUAUAUCAUAUAAUUCAGCAACCGAAAAUUGUAUAUGAAUUCCAAAGUGGCCUCCUCUUUUUCUGUCUUCUGUCCACCUUUAAUUCAGUAGCUGAAGCCUAUUUUUCUCUUUCUCCUCCCUAAGAUGCCGACCAGAUUGUAAUUUUUUUUUUGUCAACUCCCCUCCAAUCUGCUGCCCAAUUAUAUGUGUGAAUCACUCAACAUUUUCCCAAGCAGCUGCCUUUUAUACUCCAAUUGUAGCCAACGUCUUCCACUCCAAUUUUCUUCCUAGUCGUUUCUCUCCUUUCUGCCGGCACCAAUCUGUAAAUACAAAAAUAGAAUUCAACCCGCCCCUUGAUAUGUGUGAAAAUUAUAAUAAUGGCUCCCCCCCUGUUUCUCUCGGUAGGCGCCUAUAUAUACUUCCAAUCAGCCAAGUAAUUUUAUUCACAAAAAUAUUCCAAUACCAUCCCUAAUUUCCAAACUGCCGUGUGUAAUUUUAUAUGGACAAAUCUAAUUGGGCCACCCACUUGUAUUAUCAAAGUCCCAUAUGUAAUUUAAUUGCACAUAACUUCCAAUCCAAGUAAAAGUCUAGUUAAGGUCCAUUAUGGUGGUAUUUAUUUCCAAGUCCUCAAUUUUCAUCCAAAGGCCAAUUUAAUUCACGCACUUUACAUUUUGUCAUUUUCGUCUGCUUUUGCUUCUUUCCUUCACUUCCUUUUCAUUCAUGGAAAUUCACCUAUUAAACGUAAAAUAUAACAAUUUAGAAUAUAAUUUGCUAAAAGAUUGUCAAAUAUCGCUAUUUUAGAGUCUCGAAUAAGUGUAUAAAAUACACUUAUCAAAUACCCCCAAACUUAAACAUUUGUUUGCCCUCAAACAAAACUAUAACAUAAAUAACAACAAACAUGCAAAAAAUAUUUGGUUAGACCGUUUAGCUUUUUUUUUUUUUUUGACCUUAGGUUUUGAAAUCACGGCAUUAAAUCUAUACACUGCUUCAAAGUGAUAAUACCAAACUAAUAUCCACUUUUCCAAUGCAAAACCGACGUGUAUGUGUGAAGAACUAAGUAAGCAUUAAUGAAUUCACAAGUUCUUCCAAUUCCCGACCUCUAUGGUCAAAUAUAUCUUUUCAUCUCUCGUAAGAUUUACACACCCCCACAUAUUCAUUUUCACACUCUUUUUCCAGUGUGUGAUCUAAGAUUGAAUUUUUAUCACUAUCCUCACCUCUCCAAUUCAGGUGGAUGUCACUAAUUGCAAGUUAACACAUCAAUGAAUAAGGAUUCUCAAAUUAUUUGAUUGCUUCGACUGUCAAGAUUCAAUUAGUUUAAUUAUCAUUUAUCGAAGGUCAAGUUCCCUCAAACAAGUGUUGGGACUUACAAGGCAUUUAGUACUUUUUUUUUUCUUUUUAGUUUUUAGUAUUUUUUUGGCAGUCUCCCUUAAGCUUUCUAGAUGACUCAUGUAGCAGGCUUUAGGCCGAUGACUCCCAAAUCAGAUGACUUUAGGGCACCAGAUUUUUAAAUACCCUUACAGGCUUAAUAACCCGAGUAAAAAAGGCUCCGAAGAAAACAAUUUUUUUUAUUUAUUUAGGGAAUUUCAUCUCUGAUUGCUUUUUAAACGACCCUUGUAAUGAGCUUUAAGCCAAUGAUUCCCAAGUCAGAUGACUUUGGGGCACCAGGUUUUAAGAUACCCUUGUAUGCUUAAUUGCUCGAGUUAUAAAAGCCCCUUAGAAAAAUUUUAAAUUUCAAAACAUAUGCCUUGAUUAGUGCACUGCCCCUUAUCACACACCUAUUCAAGCAAAUCGACCUCCAAUUUAAAACUUUCACCCAAUUUUAUCCUAUUAAUCCCAGACAAUCCACAAAAAAUUUUCACACAAGGAAUCCACAUUUACAUCCGUAUUUUCCUACAACAGUAAGAUCUUUACAAGUUGAGCUAAAUUUGGUCUAAGGAUAAUUAAUUAGUAUGAUUUGGGUAAAGCAUCUAUGUCCAACUAAUUCAAUCUAUCAAGUGCACGAAUAAACUCAUUUCAUCAUAAUGCCAACUCAGUUCUAGUGCAUGUAUAAUAUCAAGUUUUGCAAGUUCAAUCUUCAAUCAAUCUAGCAUGCUUUCUAUCCACAGUUCAUAAAUCAACGCCAAAUCUCAAAUUUAAUCAUCAUUGUCAGCCAAACGGUCUAACCCACACAAGCAUACAAUAAAAAAUAAGUAAAACUAAAUAAAGAUUUAACGAUUUUUUUUAAUUUUUAAUUUUUUUAACAUAUGUAAACAACACACGAAAACAUACGAAAACCAAAAACACAAAGUGCUUCCCACCCCCAAACUAAGUCCGACAUUGUCCUCAAUGUCUUAAAAUAUAAUUAAGAAUAUAAGGGGACGGGGAAGAAAAUGACGAAGGUACUCCCCAAAUUUUUCUAUUAAACGUGGAAGAUACUAUAGGUGACGGCUAGACAAUCUUUUUCAUCAUGCUUUCCCCUUGGUCGAUGUUGGUUUGAGUGUUCUACGACAUCAUGUUCCUGUAUAUGGCAAUCAAAUCAAAUAGUAGAGAUCAAAAAAUCCAAAACAUGCGUUACUUAGCCCAAAUACUCGAAAUAACCAACAUUAUAUUUAAGAGCCUCAAUGAAAACAUGAUCGGAUGAUGAUACUCUAUAAAUUUAAACGUGCCUAAAUCUAAUGCAACUAAUAAUUAAAACAAAUCUAUAUGUAAUGCGAUGCAGAAAACAAAAUAAAUAAAAGGUUUUGGGUUGCCUCCCAAUAAGCGCUUAAUCUAUAGUUUUGAGCUAGACUUUGUUGUCCUGGCUACUCUACAUUAUCAAGUGGUACGGUUGUUUUUUAACUGGAGUAGUCACCUCACCAAUAAGCUUUCAACCGUUGUUCAUUUACUUUGAACCUCCUUUGUUGAUCUUGAGAUACCACUUCCAUAGCUCCAUGUGGAAACACAGCUACUACUGUGAAUGGACCCGACCACCUAGACUUUAGCUUUCCUGGAAAAAGCUUGAGGCGUGAAUUGAACGUCAAUAUUUGUUGACCAACCUCUAACUCCAUCUCCCUUAUAUGCCUAUCGUGCCAUUUCUUGGUCUUUUCCUUGUAAAUCUUUGCAUUCUCAUACGAAUCCAAACUAAACUCAUCUAGCUCAUGAAGUUGUAGAACCCUCUUUUUUCCUGCUGCUCUCAUAUUGAAAUUUAGCAAGUGUGUCGUCCAGUAUGCUUUAUGCUCUAACUUAACCGACAGAUGACAAGCCUUUCCAAAUACCAGUCGAUAUGGAGACAUGCCUAUUGGAGUCUUAAAUGCUGCUUUAUAUGCCCAAAGUGCAUCGUCUAGUUUCUUAGCCCAAUCUUUACAUGAUGCAUUGACCGUAGCUUCGAGAAUAUUCUUUAACUCCCUGUUAGAGAUUUCCACCUGCCCGCUAGUCUGAGGGUGGUAUGGAGUCGAGACACGAUGUUUCACUCUAUAUUUGGCCAACAACGAAGCAAAUAAGCGGUUGCAAAAAUAUUUUCCGCCAUCACUAAUAAUUGCCCUCAGGGUGCCAUACCUCGUGAAAAUAAUUUUCUUCAAAAAUUGAGUCACUACUCGACCGUCAUUAGUUGGCAAAGCCAUAGCUUCAACCCACUUGGACACGUAGUCCACUACCACCAAUAUAUAUUGUUGACCAUAGGAUGGAAGAAAUGGUCCCAUGAAGUUAAUGCCCCAAACAUCGAAUAUUUCAACCUCCAAAAUAUUGUUCAAAGGCAUCUCGUUCCUCCUUGAGAUAUUUCCAUUCCUCUGGUACUUUUCACAAUAUUUCACCAUAUAAUGGGCGUCCUUGAACAACAUAGGCCAAUAAAAACCCAAUUGCAGUACUUUUGCUACUGUCUUGGUUGCUGCGAAGUGGCCCCCAUACGGUGCAGAGUGAUAUGACUCUAAUACUUGGUGCUGCUCCACCUCUGGCACACAACGGCGUAUGAUCUGAUCUGGACCCCUUCUAUAAAGAAUUGGAUCAUCCCAAAAGUAGUGUUUUAUGUCACUGAAGAAUUUUUUCUUUUGAUGACUUGAGUAAUCUGGUGGGAUGAUGGAGCGGGCUAAAUAAUUGACAUAAUCGGCAUACUAUGGUGUAGUGAUAAUCUGAAAAAGCAUUUCAUUACGAAAGACUUCAUUGAUCUCCAAUGUAAGAUUUGACUCAUGUGAUUCAAAGCGUGAGAGGUGAUCUGUCACAACAUUCUUACUCCCUUUUUUAUCUCUAAUUUCCAGAUCAAACUCUUGCAAUAGGAGUAUCCAAAGAAUAAGUCUCAGCUUUGCAUCCUUCUUACUCAUUAGAUAUUUAAACGCUGAAUGAUCUGUAUAGACAAUCACUUUUGACCCAAUCAAGUAUGACCUGAAUUUGUUAACGGUGAACACUACUGCCAACAGCUCUUUCUCUAUAGUCGCAUAAUUCAUUUAAGCCUCAUCCAAAGUCUUACUAGCAUAGUGAAUCACAUGAGAACUUUUCUCCUUUCGUUGACCAAGCACUGCGCCCACUGCGUGAUCUCUGGCAUCACACAUAAGCUCGAACGAAUAAUUCCAAUCUGGAGAAGCCAAUAUUGGAGCAGAAACCAAUUUUUCUUUUAAGGCGUUGAAAGCUAUCAAGCACUCCUUAGAAAAGUGAAAUGGGGCCCCUUUUUCAGGCACAAUGGCUUCGAGAUUUUGGAAAAGUCUUUGAUGAAGCGACGGUAGAACCCAGCGUGACCCAAGAAACUUCCAACUCCUUUUACUGUUAUAGGCGGUGGUAGUUUUUUGAUGACUUGUAUCUUAGCUCUAUCAACCUCAAUGCCUCGUGCUAAAAUUAAAUGUCCUAACACAAUCCCUUCCUGAACCAUGAAAUGACAUUUUUCCUAAUUUAAUACAAGGUUUGUGUCUUCACACCGUUGUAACACUUUUUCCAAAUGUUCAAGGCAUUCCUUGAAUUAUUUUUCAAACACUGAGAAAUCAUCCAUAAACACCUCAAUAAUAUGUCCCACCAUGUCUGAGAAAAUAGACAUCAUACAGCGCUGAAAGGUGGCUGGAGCGUUGCAAAGGCCGAAUGUCAUCCUCCUAUAAGCAAAAGUGCCAUAAGGGUAUGUAAAGGUCGUCUUCUCUUGGUCAUCUGGUGCAAUAGGAAUUUGGUUGUACCCCGAAUAACCAUCCAGGAAGCAAUAGUACGCAUGUCCAGCAAGUCUCACCAGCAUCUGAUCAAUGAAAGGAAGGGAAAAGUGAUCAUUCCUUGUGGCGUUGUUGAGUUUGCGAUAAUCAAUGCAAACUCUCUAACCCGUGACUGUGCGUGUCGGGAUGAGCUCAUUAUUUUCAUUUGGAACCACCGUGAUCCCUCUCUUUUUCGGUACGACCUGUACUGGACUCACCCAAUGACUGUCUGAUAUGGGAUAUAUGAUCCCUGCAUCUAGAAGCUUUAAUAUCUCUUUCCUUACCACUUCCUGCAUAGUCGGAUUUAAUCUGCGUUGAUGCUCAAUUGAAGCUUUGUAAUCAUCUUCCAUCAAUAUUUUAUGCAUGCAAAGCGAAGGGCUGAUCCCUUUUAUAUCUGAUAUCGUCUAUCCUAUUGCUGUCUUAUGCUCUCGAAGCACCCUCAGCAAUUGAUCCUCCUCCACUUUUGUAAGAUUGUUUGAGAUGAUUACUAGAAGUGAAUUCUUUUCCCCCAAGUAUGCAUAGCGAAGAUGAGUUGGCAGUUGUUUGAGUUCAAGAAUUGGAGCUUGUUGUAUUGAUGGUAAAGGUGUUGUGGGUCUUUCACUGAGCUCCAGUCGUGGUUGCUUGAAGAAUGGUGGUAUGGCUGCCAAAUAACGUGCACAUUCUUCCGCUUCCUCAUUUUCUAAUGGUAAAUCCUGAGAAUGUACUAAACACGCUUCAAGCAGAUCCUGAGGGUGAUCUAGUUUGAAUGUCUUUGACACUGCUUCUUUUAAUGCAUCAAUUUGCAUGCAAGAAUCUGGUUCGCUCUGAAAUCUGAAAGCUCUAAACACGUUGAUUGUCAGUUCUUCUUCAUUUAACCUCAAUAUCAACUGACCAUUUUGUACAUCUAUCAGAGUUCUUCCCGUAGCCAAAAAUGGGCAACCCAAUAUGAGGGAGAACAUCCCUAUCUUCUUCCAUAUCCAAAAUAAUAAAGUUCACUGGGAAGAUAAACUUGUCAACCUUUACCAAAAUAUCUUCACAAAUACCACGAGGGUGUUUGAUUGACUUGUCAGCCAACUGUAGUGAAACUGUUGUCGAUUUUGCUUCCCCCAAACCUAGUUUCUGGAAAGGAGAUAAAGACAUUAAAUUAAUGCUAGCUCCUAGAUCACACAAUGCCUUAUCUAUAUACAAAUUACCAAUGUGACAAAGAAUAGUAAAACUCCCUGGGUCUUUUAGUUUCGAUGGUAAUUUGUGUUGGAGAAUUGCGCUACACUCCUCAGUAAACAUGACUGUUUCAUUGUCUUCCAGCUUCCUCUUAUUUGAUAGAAUAUCCUUCAUGAACUUAGCAUAGCUGGGCAUUUGGGCUAAAGCUUCAGCAAAUGGUAUGUUAAUAUGCAGCUUCUUGAACACAUCCAAAAAUUUCUGGAAUUGCUUGUCGAGCUUAUGUUUUUGCAAUCUCUGUGGAAAUGGGAUUGGAGGAACAUAUGCUUUGACAGGAGUAGUUGCCUUCACCUGUGGACUAUCUGAUGAUUCAACUUGAUUUUCUUCUGAGGCUUUGUCUGAUUCAUCUACUUGCUCCUCGCCCAUGAUAGGUGCCUUUUCUAUGAUAGUUGUUGGCCUCUUUACAUGUAUUUUUGGUAACUGGAUGCCACUAUGUGUAGUGAUUGCUUUGACCUGCUCCUUAGGAUUUGUUUCAGUAUUGCUAGGCAAUGUCCCUUGAGCUUUACCUGAUAGUGCGGCUGCAAUUUGUCCAACAUGUUGUUCCAAAUUCUUGAUCGAGGCUCGUUGGUUUUGAAAGUUGGUCUUAGUUUUAGUAAUGUAUUGAGCCAGCAAAUCUUCCAACGAUGGCCUUCUCCCUUGCUGUUGUUGCUGUUGGAACCCUGGUGGUUUAUUUUGAUUACUUCCUCCCUGUUCUUGUCCUUGAUUAUUACACCACGAAAAAUUUGGAUGGUUCUUCCAACCUGGAUUAAAUGUGUUGGAGAAAGGAUUAUUUUGCUGUCUCUGAAAGUUUUGUGCGUAGCUUACUUCUUCGGAUUGAUUAACAUGUGUAGACGCCAAAGGGUAGCAUGUACUCGCAUGAUCCGCUCCACAGCCUUCGCAAACAGGUGGCGAUUGGUGUACCAUGUUGACUGACUUAGAUAGAUUGUCCAUUUUCAUGGUAAGAACUUCCAUUUGCGCGGCCAGUGCUGUUACUGUAUCUACGUUAUGUAACCCUGAUGUUUUCCUUAGAGCUUCCCUAUCAGUUGCCACAUUGAUUGGUUUUCAGUUAUUUUUUCAUACAAAUCAUAUGCCUCAUCCACAUCAAGUUUCAUCACUGAUCCUCCUGCUGAAGCAUCUAUCAUAUUUCUGAACUCUUGUUUUAGACCAUAGUAGAAAAGAUAUUGUUGAGCCUGCUUGGGAAUGUCGAUGUUGGGGCAUUUUCUGAAAAAAUUCUUGAACCUCUCCUAUGCCACAUGAUAGCUCUCGAGAUCUUUUUGCUUAAAGGUGGAUGUCGUUCCUAAUUUGGUGAACUCGAGAAGGUGGAAAGAAUUUUAUCGUGAAUUUUUGAACCAUACCGUUCCAAGAUUGAAUGCUCCCUGGUGGUAAACAGAGAAACCAUUCUUUAGCAGCGUCUUUCAAGGUAUGAGGAAAUAAUCUCAUUCGGAAUGCAUCUGUUGAUAUCCCUUCGUGACUGAUCACUUCACAUAACAUUAGAAAAGCAGAAAUAUGCUCAUGAGGGUUUUUCGUGGCUUUUCCAAAGAACCUGAUGUCUUUGUGAUUUUGAAACAAAUUGAUGACAUCUGGUCGAAGGUGGAAAUUAGGUUGUCCAAAAGGAGGGUAUACCACAGCAGGUUGCACUGGCGCGGGAAUUGGAUUGAUGUAAUCUCCAACUAAGACAGGAGCUUCGUUCUGGUUAGCUCUCGGUUGAUUGGCUGCGGUACUGGCUCAUAAAGCUGAACUUGAUUUUGUGGUUGAUUUUGGUUAUCAGCCAUUCUCCUUGCUUGACUUUGAACUCUUUUGCGAUUUCUAAAUGUUCUUUCAAUUUCGUGGUCUAUCGAAAAGAGAUCUGGCUCGUCAGAAUUUUGCAUAAAUUAAAGUUGCCUAAAAAGUGUAAUGGUAGCCUAAAAAUGACUAAAAAAAAAAUGAAAACGAAUCUAAAAUAUCUAAUAACUAAAAAUAACCCCGUUAUUCCCCGGCAACGGCGCCAAAAAUUUGUUCGUCAAAAUUCCGCAAACUUACGGGUUUGUUGUACAAGUAAUAAUCGUGAUGAGAGAGUUAUCGUCCCACAGGAAAUAAGGAUCAAUUUUAGUAUAUUUGAUAUAUUUAAAUUCGUAUUUGUAACUAAAAGACGAUCGAAAGAAUAGCUAAAUAAUUUUUAUAACUAAAACUUGUGAAAAUAAUUAAAAUUGGUUUAAAAAUUUAAAUGUGUGAACGUAUUGGAUUUCUGACGCCAUUGAUUAAUUCUUAGUUCUAAUUCUCAACCAGUGAUAAUUAUCUCAAUUUAUGCAAUUAUGACGAUCGAUAAUUCCACUAUUAUUUAUUAUCAUUUCCCAAGAUAUAAUAAACCUACGUUUACCACGAAACAUCAUAUUCCUAGUCCGAAUUCAUAUGGCGAACAUGCAUUGACAUCUAGGAUUAUCAUAUAUGAUCGCACACGCCACAAAUAUUAUUCCUAAUAUUUAUUGUCCGUGUGUCCCAAUAAUAGUGUUCUACUUAUCGUGAGUUUUCCAACAUAACGAAUAAGCAACUUAUUGUCCUAAUGGUACACAAACAUUAAAACAAUCUAAUUAUGCAUAUUAAUGAAAUCACAAUGCAAGAAUUAACAUAAAAACAUAGGUCUCGAAUUAAAACUAAAAAUUAAACAAUUUUGUCAUCCAUCCAAUACAUGAGAAAAAUUAGCCUAACAUACUGUUGAAAUCAAACAAAUAAAAGUGGAAGAACAUCACCGAAAUUUGACGAAACGUGAUUAAUUCCAAAAGUAUUCUCGGCCUCUACAUGUAUGUAUUUUUCCCCAACAGCAAGUAGGCUCCUCCUUUUAUUUUUAUCUCCAAAUGGCACUAAUUCUCUUCCCUUGUCCAGGUGGUUCUGUAGGUAUGUAUGCAUAUCAAUUAAAUCACAAAGUUGCCCUUUUUUUUCUUCCUCUCACUGCCAACUUUCUGUGUCUUCUUUCUGUCCUCAAUUCACGUUUGUUUGUGUGUGAUUCCAGCCGGCAAUUGUAUGUCUCUCUUCUAAUUUCCACCAGCAGUUUAUGUAUGUAUAUAUCAUAUAAUUCAGCAACCGGCAAUUGUAUAUGAAUUCCAAAGUGGCCUCCUCUUUUUCUGUCUUUUGUCCACCUUUAAUUCAGCAGCUGAAGCCUAUUUUUCUCUUUCUCCUCCCAAAGAUGCCGACCAGAUUGUAAUUUUUUUUUGUCAACUCCCCUCCAAUCUGCUGCCCAAUUAUAUGUGUGAAUCCCUCAACAAUUUCCCAAGCAGCUACCUUUUAUACUCCAAUCGUAGCCGACGUCUUCCACUCCAAUUUUUUUCCCAGCUGUUUCUCUCCUUUCUGCCGGCACCAGUCUAUAAAUACAAAAAUAGAAUUCAACCCCCGACGGCAGCCCCUUGAUAUGUGUGAAAAUUAU